UACGUAGGUGGCAAGCGUUGUCCGGAAUUAUUGGGCGUAAAGCGCGCGCAGGUGGUUCCUUAAGUCUGAUGUGAAAGCCCACGGCUCAACCGUGGAGGGUCAUUGGAAACUGGGGAACUUGAGUGCAGAAGAGGAAAGUGGAAUUCCAAGUGUAGUGGUGAAAUGCGUAGAGAUUUGGAGGAACACCAGUGGCGAAGGCGACUUUCUGGUCUGUAACUGACACUGAGGCGCGAAAGCGUGGGGAGCAAACAGG
rnacentral:rRNA from 1 species